rnacentral:hammerhead_ribozyme from 1 species
AUUUAGCUGACGAGUCCCAAAUAUGAUGAAACGCGUGUCCUAGAU